rnacentral:lncRNA from 1 species
UUAUAAUUAAAAAAAGUAGCAUAGCGCUAUAUUCUUGGAAUUUCAUACAAAUGAUAUUACCCCUCAGUUGGGCAAUGUAACCGAGGAAUAUUACAAUUAAAAGAAGGAUAUUUGAAAAUAUUAUUUAUAUAAUUCAAAAUAAAUAAAUAAAGCAAAAAGGGAGACGUUCUAUUUGAGAAAAUGUAACACUUGGUUCCUA